UUAAGAUGAACAUAUCAAGGAUAAACUGCCCGAAAAAGUAGAAAUUACAUCUAUCGGAUACUGGAUUGAAUACCAGAAAGAGAAUAUCCGUCAUCGGUUAGGAUGAACAUAUCAAGGAUAUACUCCGAGGGGAGACAUAGGGAUUACAUCUACCUGUUACUAGAUAGAAUACUGAAAAGAGAAUAUAUGUCACCGGUUAGGAUGAAC
rnacentral:lncRNA from 1 species